rnacentral:rRNA from 1 species
CACGGGGGGAGCAAGCGUUGUUCGGAAUCACUGGGCGUAAAGGGCGUGUAGGCGGUCAAGUAAGUGGAAUGUGAAAGCCCCCGGCUUACCCGGGGAUCUGCAUCCCAAACUGCUUGGCUUGAGUACGGGAGAGGAUAGGGGAAUUCCUGGUGUAGCGGUGAAAUGCGCAGAUAUCAGGAGGAACACCGAUGGCGAAGGCAGGUCUCUGGGCCGAUACUGACGCUGAGGAGCGAAAGCGUGGGGAGCGAACAGG